GGCGACUCCCUAUCGGGUUCCAAAUGGUUUUCUGUGUGCUCAUUAUAGUUACAAUGUUUUAUCUUCCCGAUUCACCUCAUUAUCUCAUCUCCAAGAAUAAGAUUGCUGAGGGCGAAAGAGUUCUUGCUGCACUUGAGGGGAAAGAUAUCGAUGACCCCGCCACCAAACAUCAAAAGAACCUAGUCAUUGAUUCGAUAAGAACUUCGCGUGCCUCGAAAGAACGCUUCAAGGAUCUUUUCACUAGUGGCAGAACUCAACAUCGCCGUCGUACGAUGAUGGGCACCUCCUCGAAGGUUUUCAAAGAGCUCACUGGAUGUAACGCGGUCAUUUACUUUCUUCCAUUCUUUUUGAAACGGUCUCUUGACAGGUCGGUUGAGUUCGCAAUGUUGAUUGGUGGUAUAAGCAUGACUCUCUAUGCGUUUUGUGCGACGUUCUCAUGGUUCUUCGUCAAGAAAUUGGGGCGCCGCAAGCUCUUCAUUUUAGGGAGCCUCGGCCAAUUCCUUGCCAUGAUCAUUAUAUUCGCAUGUGUUGCUGCCAG
rnacentral:sRNA from 1 species